AAGCAACACACACAAAAUGCUGGAGGAACUCAGCAGGCCAGGCAGUAUCUAUGGGAAAAAAUAAACAGUUAACAUUUCAGGCUGAGACCCUUCAUCAGGACAGGGGAAAAAAAGAUUAUCAGAAACCCUGAAGAAAGCUUCCAUACCAGGCAUUCACAGUAGAACAAGACAAUCAAUGAAAGCCUACACACGAAGACUGACAACCAACCAAUGUGUAAAAGACAAACUGCA